GUUGUAUAGACUGAAAUAUCCGAGCUACGGAUUCUGUAGCAGACCUUGCAUUGUGAGGUACAACCUUGAUAACUCUGGCUGGAUUAUCAGGCACACAAGCCUGAGGGCUACCAUCACGGUUGUCAGUAACUGGAGACGUGGGAAAAAGAGAGAGCAUGUUUCUUCCUGCUGUCUCAAUAGGACUACUUGCACUGCUGGCUUGUACCUCAUUAUCUUUUGUGGAUUGAUACCUUACAACAUCCGGGACAUUUUCUUUCUUCUGAUUUAGAACAUUACUUGAGUCCUGAUGUUGAAUGUUGACGUCAUCAACUACUCCAGAAAACUGGUGUUGUAAACCAGGCAUGGUAUACUGGUUCGAUUCUUCACUAGCAGUUGAUGAAAUUGGUGGAUUCAUAGCUGGCAUGCCAUAUUGCCGAAAGUAACCAUGACCAGUCGGAGGUGCAAAAGGAACUCCCAUACCUUGAUAGUGAGGAUUAGGAGCAGGAACUCCAUAUGUUGGAGCAAAAAAGUUCCCCAUUGUUGGACUCGAUCCUGGAGGCCCACUUCCACAAAUAGGACUCGUGAAUCCAGGUCCAGGAAAUGGCUUGUAUACAAGUCCCUCAGAAGGAGACAUCACUGGGAUCAACCAUUGGUGCCCGGGAGGUUGUUGGAAGCACCAAGGACCCGCAUUAGAA
rnacentral:misc_RNA from 1 species